UACGUAGGGUGCGAGCGUUGUCCGGAAUUAUUGGGCGUAAAGGGCUCGUAGGCGGUUUGUCACGUCAGGAGUGAAAACUCGGGGCUUAACCCCGAGCCUGCUUCUGAUACGGGCAGACUAGAGGUAUGCAGGGGAGAACGGAAUUCCUGGUGUAGCGGUGAAAUGCGCAGAUAUCAGGAGGAACACCGGUGGCGAAGGCGGUUCUCUGGGCAUUACCUGACGCUGAGGAGCGAAAGUGUGGGGAGCGAACAGG
rnacentral:rRNA from 1 species